UUUGCCUGACCCCCUUUCACCUCAAACCAUCACAAAGCAUCCAGAAGAAAUGCCACUUUGGAUUCCAUUUGUUUUCUUUUUCAUGUUCUUUAGAGAUGUUCAGUCAGAAGUGCAGCUGAUAGAGUCUGGAGGGGAUGUCAAAAAGCCCGGAGAGUCCAUCCUCCUCUCCUGCCAAGCCUCCGGGUUCACCUUCAGUAGCUACUGGAUGGAAUGGGUCAGACAGGCUCCCGGGAAGGGGCUGGAAUGGGUGGCCCGGAUAGCAACAUCCUCGUCUAACACCUACUACUCGGAUUCGGUGAGGGGGCGCUUCACCAUCUCCAGGGAUGAUUCCAGAAGCCUGCUGAAGCUGCAAAUGAACAGCCUGAAAUCCGAAGACACGGCUCUGUAUUACUGUGCGACGGACACAGUGAGAGGAAAUGAAGCUGCAGCCAGGCAGAAACCCGCCUUUCCUCUUGGCAGCUCUCCAGUUGGAUUCAGCUCUUGCAGAUUGAAUGAAAACACUGGGAGAUAA